UACAGAGGGUGCAAGCGUUAAUCGGAAUUACUGGGCGUAAAGCGCGCGUAGGUGGUUUGUUAAGUUGGAUGUGAAAUCCCCGGGCUCAACCUGGGAACUGCAUUCAAAACUGACAAGCUAGAGUAUGGUAGAGGGUGGUGGAAUUUCCUGUGUAGCGGUGAAAUGCGUAGAUAUCGAGAGGAACACCAGUGGCGAAGGCGAGUCUCUGGACAUUUUCCUGACGCUGAGGCACGAAAGCCAGGGGAGCAAACGGG
rnacentral:rRNA from 1 species